UAUCAUUAUCUGGGGUGCCAACUUGGCUGAGAAUAUACCCAUUGAACCUGAUCCGCGUAAUGGCGGCGUAGGAAGUUAAAGUGAUUUACAG
rnacentral:ncRNA from 2 species